GAAACCAACAGGGAUUGCCUUAGUAACGGCGAGUGAAGCGGCAAAAGCUCAAAUUUGAAAGCUAGCACCUUCGGUGUUCGCGUUGUAAUUUGAAGAUAGUUUCCUUGAGUAGUCCUUUAUCUAUGUUCCUUGGAACAGGACGUCAUAGAGGGUGAGAACCCCGUAUGAUUUUGGAUACUACUCUUUGUGGGAUUCUAUCGAAGAGUCGAGUUGUUUGGGAAUGCAGCUCUAAGUGGGUGGUAAAUUCCAUCUAAAGCUAAAUAUUGGCGAGAGACCGAUAGCGAACAAGUACAGUGAUGGAAAGAUGAAAAGAACUCUGAAGAGAGAGCGAAAAAGUACGUGAAAUUGCUGAAAGGGAAGGGCUUGAGGUCAGACUUGGUGUUUAAUGAUUAUCAGUUCUUCCUGGACUGUGCACUCGUUUUUCACCGGGCCAAUAUCAGUUUUAGCGGUAGAGUACCCCUUGAAAUGUGGCUUCCUUCGGGGAGUGUUAUAGUCUUGGGGAGAUCUACUUGCUGGGACUGAGGACUGCGCUUCGGCAAGGAUAUUGGCGUAAUGACCUUAAGCCGC
rnacentral:rRNA from 1 species